CCUACGGGUGGCAGCAGUGGGGAAUAUUGGGCAAUGGGCGCAAGCCUGACCCAGCAACGCCGCGUGAAGGAAGAAGGCUUUCGGGUUGUAAACUUCUUUUCUGAGGGACGAAGAAAGUGACGGUACCUCCGGAAUAAGCCACGGCUAACUACGUGCCAGCAGCCGCGGUAAUACGUAGGUGGCAAGCGUUAUCCGGAUUCAUUGGGUGUAAAGGGCGCGUAGGUGGGAAAGCAAGUCAGAUGUGAAACCUCGGGGCUCAACCCUGAGCCUGCAUUUGAAACUGGUUUUCUUGAGUGCUGGAGAGGCAAGCGGAAGUCCGGGUGUAGCGGUGAAAUGCGUAGAUAUACGGAGGAACACCGGUGGCGAAGGCAGAUUGCUGGACAGUAACUGACGCUGAGGCGCGAAAGCGUGGGGAGCAAACAGGAUUAGAUACCCCGGUAGUC
rnacentral:rRNA from 1 species